rnacentral:rRNA from 1 species
GACGAACGCUGGCGGCGUGCUUAACACAUGCAAGUCGAACGGAAAGGCCCUGCUUUUGUGGGGUGCUCGAGUGGCGAACGGGUGAGUAACACGUGAGUAACCUGCCCUUGACUUUGGGAUAACUUCAGGAAACUGGGGCUAAUACCGGAUAGGAGCUCCUGCUGCAUGGUGGGGGUUGGAAAGUUUCGGCGGUUGGGGAUGGACUCGCGGAUUAUCAGCUUGUUGGUGGGGUAGUGGCUUACCAAGGCUUUGACGGGUAGCCGGCCUGAGAGGGUGACCGGCCACAUUGGGACUGAGAUAGGGCCCAGACUCCUACGGGAGGCAGCAGUGGGGAAUAUUGCACAAUGGGCGGAAGCCUGAUGCAGCAACGCCGCGUGCGGGAUGACGGCCUUCGGGUUGUAAACCGCUUUCGCCUGUGACGAAGCGUGAGUGACGGUAAUGGGUAAAGAAGCACCGGCUAACUACGUG